UGUUCCGGUUUUUCUUCUUGUGAACGUUGAUAUCGAUUCGUUCCAAAUUUACACUCUCUGGGCAUAAUAGAAUAAUAUAAUUAGGUUUUACGCUUUGUUCGAUAGAAUGAGAAAAAGUACUCAUUGCAAAGUUAUACUGUUAGGGCGCAACUGAGUAGUCUAAUGUUGUUCCGGUUUUUGUUCUUGUGAACGUUGACAUCGAUUAGUUCCAAAUUCACUCUCAGGGUAUAAUAGAACAAUAUAAUUAGGUUUUACUCUUUGUUCGAUUGAAUGACAAAAAGUACUCGUUGCAAAGUUAAACUGUUAGGACGCAACUGAGUAGUCUAAUGUUGUUCCGGUUUGGUUCUUGUGAACGUUAACAUCGAUUCGUUCCCAAUUUGCACUCUCGGGGCAUAAUAGAACAAUAUAAUUAGGUUUUACUCUUUGUUCGAUUGAAUGAGAAAAAAUACAGUUGCAAAGUUAUACUGUUAGGGCGCAACUGAGUAGUCUAAUGUCGUUGCAAAGUUAUACUGUUAGGGCGUAACUGAGUAGUCUAAUGUUGUUCCGGUUUUGGCUCUUGUGAACGUUGACAUCGAUUCGUUCCAAAUUUACACUAUCGGGGCAUAAUAGAGCAAUAUAAUUAGGUUUUACUCUUUGUUUGAUAGAAUGAGAAAAAGUACUGUUGCAAAGUUAUACUGUUAGGGCGCAACUAAGUAGUCUAAUGUUGUUCCGGUUUUGGUUCUUGUGAACGUCGACAUCGAUUCGUUCCAAAUUUAUACUCUCGGGGCAUAAUAAAAUGAUAUAAUUAGGUUU
rnacentral:lncRNA from 1 species